rnacentral:rRNA from 1 species
UACGUAGGGGGCAAGCGUUGUCCGGAUUUAUUGGGCGUAAAGAGCGUGUAGGCGGUCCGGCAAGUCCGCUGUGAAAGUCGGGGGCUCAACCCUCGAAUGCCGGUGGAUACUGUCGGGCUAGAGUGCGGAAGAGGCGAGUGGAAUUCCUGGUGUAGCGGUGAAAUGCGCAGAUAUCAGGAGGAACACCUAUUGCGAAGGCAGCUCGCUGGGACGUAACUGACGCUGAGACGCGAAAGCGUGGGGAGCAAACAGG